GAUUAACGCUGGCGGCGUGCAUAACACAUGCAAGUCGAACGAUGAAACUUAACUGAUUUCUUCGGAAUGAUUUUAAGUGGAUUAGUGGCGGACGGGUGAGUAACGCGUGAGUAACCUGCCUUGGAGAAGGGGAUAGCCUUUGGAAACGAAGAAUAAUACCCUAUGAUAUGAUACUAUCUCAUGAUAUUAUCAUCAAAGAUUUAUCGCUCUAAGAUGGACUUGCGUCUGAUUAGUUAGUUGGUGAGGUAACAGCUCACCAAGGCAGCGAUCAGUAGCCGGCUUGAGAGAGUGUACGGCCACAUUGGGACUGAGACACGGCCCAGACUCCUACGGGAGGCAGCAGUGGGGAAUUUUGCACAAUGGGGGAAACCCUGAUGCAGCGACGCCGCGUGAUUUAGAAGGCCUUCGGGUUGUAAAAAUCUUUUGUAUGGGAAGAAAAUGACAGUACCAUACGAAUAAGGACCGGCUAAUUACGUG
rnacentral:rRNA from 1 species